CUACAUUUUCUACAAUAGAAAUAACUACGGAACAGAACCAUGAAACAUGAUCUGAAUAAAGAA
rnacentral:rRNA from 1 species